rnacentral:rRNA from 1 species
AACGAACGCUGGCGGCAGGCCUAACACAUGCAAGUCGAGCGAGGACUUCGGUUCUAGCGGCGGUCGGGUGAGUAACGCGUGGGAAUGUGCCCUUCUCUACGGAAUAGCCCUGGGAAACGGGGAGUAAUACCGUAUACGCCCUUUUGGGGAAAGAUUUUUCGGAGAAGGAUCAGCCCGCGUUGGAUUAGGUAGUUGGUGGGGUAAUGGCCUACCAAGCCGACGAUGCAUAGCUGGUUUGAGAGGAUGAUCAGCCACACUGGGACUGAGACACGGCCCAGACUCCUACGGGAGGCAGCAGUGGGGAAUCUUAGACAAUGGGGGCAACCCUGAUCGAGCCAUGCCGCGUGAGUGAUGAAGGCCUUAGGGUUGUAAAGCUCUUUCAGCUGGGAAGAUAAUGACGGUACCAGCAGAAGAAGCCCCGGCUAACUCCGUG